CCACUGGGUUCUGAGCCUUGUGGUGGGUGAUGGGAGAGGAGAGAGUGAGGAGACAUUCUUAAGCCUGAUUUCAUUUUUAUUGGGAAAAGCUGAGAGCUACGGAGAGGUGGAGCGAGGAGAACAGUGAGAAAGGGGAAGGAGUGGGAGCCAAGAGAGAAGUCCAGAGAGCAGGUUUAGGGAGAACAUUUGGGAUUUGGAAAGAAGCAUCAGACAGCUGUCAACUCUGCCUGCACCCGCCUUGACUCCCCCGUGGCCCCAGAGGCCCUUGUUCCGAAUCUCAGAGCUGCUAAGCCAUGAGUGUGGGUCCUGGUGAGCAGACUCUACAGACGACGUGUUUAACCAUCAUGUGAGCUUAAUUAGUAAAAAGCUUCUUUUGAGUGUGUUGUUUCCCUGAAUGUCAUGGUCAUCUAGUUGACUUUCCACUUGGUGGGGGAUGUUGGACUGGUGGUUCUUGGAUUCUGACUCUGUGCUAAGCCAAGGUCACCCUGUGAGAAUCAUGCUUGCUCAGAGGGUUGGGAGGAGAGAAAUGGACAGACUUAGGGCUGCUGGGAGGCAGAUGGUGGACUGAAUGAUAGAUCAGAGAUGGCUGCUGAAUCCAGGGACGUGACAAAAAAAUGAACGGGAUUGUCUCUGUUCUCAAGCCGCUUCAAGACAGCUUGACUUUUUUUGGUUGUUGUUAAGCUAUCUGUGUAAACUUCUCGUCACAGGCACUGCCCAGAGUGGCCCUAGGCUUAGGUGCAGGUUUUGCAGAGGAAAUUAAAAAAAAAAAAACCCAAAAACUCACAGUCCCAGCAUCUGGCUGCUACACAGAGGAGACAAAAUAGAAGAAAUGGGAGUUCCCUGGUGGCUCAGGGGGUUAAGGGCCUGAGAGACAAAAUGGGAG